rnacentral:rRNA from 1 species
CCUACGGGUGGCAGCAGUGGGGGAUAUUGCACAAUGGGGGGAACCCUGAUGCAGCGACGUCGCGUGGGUGAAGAAGCGCCUCGGCGCGUAAAGCCCUGUCAGCAGGGAAGAAAAUGACGGCACCUGAAGAAGAAGCCACGGCUAACUACGGGCCAGCAGCCGCGGUAAUACGUCGGGGGCAAGCGUUAUCCGGAUUUACUGGGGGUAAAGGGGGCGCAGACGGCGAUGCAAGCCAGGAGUGAAAGCCCGGGGUCCAACCCCGGGACUGCACUUGGAACUGCGUGGCUGGAGUGCAGGAGGGGCAGGCGGAAUUCGUGGUGUAGCGGUGAAAUGCGUAGAGAUCAGGAAGAACACCGAUGGCGAAGGCAGCCUGCUGGACUGCAACUGACGUUGAGGCCCGAAAGCGUGGGGAGCAAACAGGAUUAGAUACCCCAGUAGUC